rnacentral:sRNA from 1 species
GAGGGAAUCUAAGAAACGAAGAAGAAGAAGAAAAAAAAAAAAAGGAAGGAAAAGAUAAGCCUAUCAUCUUUCUUUAUCUACACAAU